GACGUAGGGUGCGAGCGUUGUCCGGAUUUAUUGGGCGUAAAGAGCUCGUAGGCGGCUCGUCGCGUCAGCUGUGAAAACCCGCAGCUUAACUGUGGGCUUGCAGCUGAUACGGGCGGGCUAGAGUUCGGUAGGGGAGACUGGAAUUCCUGGUGUAGCGGUGAAAUGCGCAGAUAUCAGGAGGAACACCGGUGGCGAAGGCGGGUCUCUGGGCCGAUGACUGACGCUGAGGAGCGAAAGCGUGGGAGCGAACAGG
rnacentral:rRNA from 1 species